UAACCCUCACAUAUAAAUACCUUCUUUAGGGUUUUUUCAACCUUAUACACUCUCAAACUCCCGUUAUUUUCAUUUUCAUUGCAGCUUCUUCAAUAACACUAAUCAUGGCUAAAUGAGGAGGAGUUCGUGGCAAGUUUGGCAGAAGCUUCAGUGGUAGAGGUCGUGGUGGCGAUCAUGGUUGUGGAUGUCAUUGUGUUGGUUACCGUGACGAACAGGGUUGUUCUUCUAUCGACAUUGCAUAGUUUUUCGCUUGAGCAUGGUGACUUUUUGCUUAGACAUAAUCUAGAAAUGAUGCUGCAAAAGAACAAGUGGAAGUUCGGCUGAAUUUUGAUUUUCUUUCUGAGGGUCUGAAACUUUGAGGGGUUUUUGCUGAUCUUCUAACCUUCUUGACUUGAAUACGACACCUAGUGAUCCUUCUAUUUUUGAGGUUGUUGAUUUGGCCUCUGGUUCCCCAGCUGUGCCUGAGGGUGAUCCCUUCCGCUUCUGCCCUACCUUCUGUUUUUGUUCAUCCUUCAAGUGUUUGUUCUACUUCUCCGGAUACUAUGGGUUCUUCAUCCAUCCCCAAGGUGUCAAGAAGACCUCUUAUCAAGGGUCAAAUAGUGGUUACAAUCAAGGCCGUCUGUCAUAAGCUCCCUCUGAAUGUACCUCCUGUGCCUAUUGACGAUGUCUCAUUCCAUUAAGAGGAAAGUGUUCACAAAUGGAAAUAUGUUGUUCAUUAUCGAAUUGCUAAUGAGCUUAAUAUUUUCGACAAGCAUCAAUCGUGUACUUCUUUAAUUGAGCUCAUUUAGAAUCUUUGGUUAAUGAAAAUUGUCUUUGAGGUUGGUCCCUUUUACCCUCGUUUGAUUGGGGAGUUAAUUGUUUAUCUUCCCACUUACUUUAAUGACCUUAGUCCCGAUGAAUUUCAAAAAGUACAUGUGCAUUAAGUCCGCUUUACUA